UAUAUGUAUGGGAAGAGUGGCCUGAACCUCUGAUUGAUCACCUGAGGCGAGCAAUGAGUCAGCCCUGGGAGCACAGGUGAAGGCAAUUCAGCUGUGCUGCUGGAAGGAGUGGAGCCUGGCUGCACCUCUCCUAGUGCCAUUUAAGAGCUGACUACCAGUGGGGAAGGAUCUUUUUCUGGAGAUCCCUUCUUUGGGGUUUUACAGCAAGCCCAGGUAAGCGUAAGCACUCUAUCCAUUCUUUCUUUGGUGUAUGUAAUAAUCUGCUUAGCCAAACUCUCUUGUGUUUCCUAAUUAUAAUGUCUGUGUAUUCAUUGAUUAUACAGUAUAACUAAGGUUUUCUAGGAUGUGUUCACUGCAGUUGGGAAUUAUCUAGGGCAAACACGAAAACCUGCAAACUGUAGCAUUGUGGAGUAAAGAGAAAUCCUGCAGUAGAACAAUUUGCAAGCAGAGGCAUCUAAGCAGAGAACUAAUUGCUUAAUAGUAUUUUUUUAUCGUUUGUUUUCUUGAAAGCAAGAAGGCAAAAUGGAAGUCAAGAAGUAAGAAUGGACAUCAUGAAAACAUCAUCAACAGAUGGGUCGCUCAUUACAAGAUGAAGAAAAUCCAGCAGAACUGUGUGGAGCACUGAGGGCAUAGCCAAAUAAUGGAUCAUCAGUACCAGAUAGAUCCUGUUCUGACUUCCUUGUCAGUACCAACUGGGAUACAAAUCAUCUCACUUGACAUCAAACCUGUAACCGUUAGGUGUGAAGUUAAGCUGGCUGAAGAUCAGAUUUGGCUGCUAUGGACGUUCUAAGUGCAUCUACAGAGGAAGCUUAAUCUUUCCCAUUCCAGAUGGCUGUCUUGA
rnacentral:lncRNA from 1 species